CAGUACCGUGUGUCUGCUCUCAACAUAAAGGGGGAGAGCUCCUCCGUGGCCACCGUGGUUAUCAAGAGGUUCCAGGAGGGACAGAAAGUGGGAACUCUUGAUGCUAAACCACAUGGGUUCUGCUCG